AGAGUUUGAUCAUGGCUCAGAACGAACGUUGGCGGCGUGGAUUAGGCAUGCAAGUCGCGGGAAUCCCAGCAAUGGGGGAACCGGCGUAAGGGGCAGUAAUGCGUGGGUACCUACCCCGGGGUCCGGGAUAGCCGUCCGAGAGGGCGGGUAAUACCGGAUGACCUCGGGAGAGCAAAGCUCCGGCGCCCUGGGAGGGGCCCACGUGAUAUUAGCUAGUUGGUGAGGUGACGGCUCACCAAGGCGGAGAUGUCUAGCGGGUGUGAGAGCACGACCCGCGCCACUCGCACUGAGACACUGGCGAGACACCUACGGGUGGCUGCAGUCGAGGAUCUUCGGCAAUGCGCGCAAGCGCGACCGAGCGACGCCGCGUGGGCGAUGAAGGCCUUCGGGUUGUAAAGCCCUGUCGAGGGGGAGAAAAGCCCGCAAGGGUGUGAUCUAUCCCUGGAGAAG
rnacentral:rRNA from 1 species